rnacentral:rRNA from 1 species
GACGAACGCUGGCGGCGUGCCUAAUACAUGCAAGUAGAACGCUGAAGAGAGGAGCUUACUCUUCUUGGAUGAGUUGCGAACGGGUGAGUAACGCGUAGGUAACCUGCCUUGUAGCGGGGGAUAACUAUUGGAAACGAUAGCUAAUACCGCAUAACAAUGGAUGACACAUGUCAUUUAUUUGAAAGGGGCAAUUGCUCCACUACAAGAUGGACCUGCGUUGUAUUAGCUAGUAGGUGAGGUAAUGGCUCACCUAGGCGACGAUACAUAGCCGACCUGAGAGGGUGAUCGGCCACACUGGGACUGAGACACGGCCCAGACUCCUACGGGAGGCAGCAGUAGGGAAUCUUCGGCAAUGGGGGCAACCCUGACCGAGCAACGCCGCGUGAGUGAAGAAGGUUUUCGGAUCGUAAAGCUCGGUUGUAAGUCAAGAACGGGCGUGAGAGUGGAAAGUUCACACUGUGACGGUAGCUUACCAGAAAGGGACGGCUAACUACGUG